GAACCUAAAGUCAUAAUGGAGUAAUCUUAUACCAUUACACCAAGACUCGCUCUCUAAAUCUGUUGUAACUAAAAAAAAAUGAAACCUAGGACUAGUAUCUCUCUCACUAUUAUAGAUCUCUAUUCACCAUCUAUCAUUAUGUAUCAACCUAUCAUAGCUAAGGAUGAAACUUCUAUACAACACAAUAAUAUGGAAAGAAACAGAUUGAAAUGCAAAUUUUAAGU
rnacentral:lncRNA from 1 species